CUUACAGACUACCGAGGACAUCGUUUAUAUACAGACCGAAUACAGACAAAGUACAGACACAAGUGCACCAACAAAAUUGAGCAAUUGUUUCAACAAUGUGUUUGUUUGGUGUUCCUACCUUAUAAAAUUUCACAAUUAAUAACAUUUUAAAUAAAAUGGGUACGAAUCCUUGGGAUUGGGGAAAUAACUUAAACCAAAAUAAUCCUCCACAACAAACAAAUCUGUCUUUCGCAGCUUACAUACAAUCACUUAUACCUUCAAAUAACCCACAACCACAACCGAAUCCGUUAAACACAUCAUGAGUUCAAUCGCUUAUACCUUCACAGUCCGCAAUGAUUUCAGCAAGUCAGCGAGUGUUUGUUGCAAAUCAAAAUCAAACCAUUCAAAACUUAUUGAUAAAUGAGAAUGAGACAGGAAGUAACAACCGUCCUCCUAAGCUUCUUCAUUUGGAUGAUUAUUGGGGAUGUUACUCCUUUUACCUAAGCACACGAAGAAGCUGGAUCAAAUCCUAUUACUCUUGCUCAACUUUCGGAAACUGAUAAGAACGCUUUCGAUCUUGAAAAGAAAGCGUUUGCAAUUCUCUCACAGGAAUUGACAAUAGAUAUCAUGCAUAAGGUUAACUUUUGUACAACGACGAAAACCUUGUGGGAUAAUUUAAAAUCAAGAGGUGAAGGCAAUGCACAAACGAGAAAGAUCAAACACGGUCUUUUGAAGAAAUAAUUCGAAGCAUUCAUGUGCAUGGAGAACGAAUCUUUACGUGAAAUGGCUACAAGAUUCCAUCAAUCUUCUAAGUGAGACGUCUUCUUUCCAUGUGGCUGCUUCUCCUCAAGAAAUUGUGGUAAUAUUCGUAGAUGUUAUGCUGGCUAAAUGGAGUGGAUACAUGGAAAUUCUUAAGGAGUUUAGAGAGUUAGAAAGAUUGACCAUUUAUGGGUUUGUACAAAAGUUAGAAAACAAGGAUGCUAAAGAAUUGAGAAAGGCAAAGAGAAUUCAAAUGCCAUAAAAUCCUGAGAUGUAUUUGGGAUUAUCAGCGGGUGUAGUAGUACAAGUUAACCCUCACAACACGCUAAGCUUCAAACUGCAUUCGUUUCAAACGUCAAUCCUUUCGCUCAUCUACAACCUACAGUCACAUCUUGUGCAACCCCUACUUCAACCUUUAUACCUCCACCUUUCCUUGACCCAGAAAACCAGACAUAACAAGCUUGCUAUGGUAACAACUCUUCAGCCUUCAACGUUAGCCCAACAUCUAAUCCAAACAUUGUUAGUCUAGAUACAUCAAACUUUACCAAAGUGAGUGUAGAAGUUGCAAAGGAACGCAUGGAACUUCUAAACACUUUAGAAGGUUCGUAUUGUGGUCUAUUGGAUAGUCAGAUUAGAAACAUCAAUUUGACCAAUGAAGAAUAUCAACAAAUAGACAAAGAGGAGAUGAAAAUGAUGGAUGUUAAGUGGGCCUUUCUUAGUGCAGUGAGGACGGCAAAGAAGUUCAUGGAAAGGACAAGAAGAACAAGUUUGGCAAGCAAGAAGGAUUCAAAGUACGGGUUUGAUAAGAAUAUGGUGACUUGUUUCAACUGCAGGGAGAAGGGUCACUUCAAGAGAGAAUGUACUAAGCCUCCAAUACUGGGAAAUCAGUAUCCGUUCAACCAAAACCAACAAAGACAGCCCAACCAGAACACCAACAUAACUAACAACACUAAGAGAGCAAUGGUUCCUGUAGGAAACUCAAAUCAAGUUGGACCUUCAAACACUAAUUCAUAUAGAGCACUUAUAGUUUAAUCUGUCGAGAGUUGUGUUUGGUCCAUACAAUUGGGAAAUUAUGGACAAGGAGGAACUCCAGGUUAUGCCGAGAUUGUAAGAACUGUUAGUGAUGGGGAUUCUUUUGGAGAUGAAGUUAGUUCAGGGUAUAGUGGAAGCUCGGUCGAAGAAGGUCCCAGUUCAGGUAAAGAUGGAUCAAAAGGUUUAUCAAGAGAAGCCAUUGAUGCUGAGGUUGACGAAUUGCUGGCUAAAGCUGAAUUCCUAAAGAGUCAAAGGUCGUUGCUGGUUUGAAAAGCAGAUGGUUCAUAUAAGGAGUUCUUAAAGUUUUUCUUAGAGGAUGGAUCUUUCACGUAUCAUAAUGCAUUUAUGGCUCAUCUAGAUGGUUAAUCCAGUCAGGUGGAGUAGGGACUCGCUUCCAAAGAACCCAACUCCCAAGAGGUAUGUGUCAAUGUUGGGUGAACGGAAGAGAUCCGACCAUCAUCGUCAUGACUUCGCACCAUAUCAAUUCACAGGGAGAGAAAGAGAGGAGAGUGAACGGAAGAGAUCCGACCAUCGUGGUGUUGGUCAUUAGCGGUUACUAGAAACGACGGUGGUUUGGGUUGUAGGGGUUCCGGUGAUGAUGGGUCCUAGUGGUAUUGUUAUCCGUUUUCGGUGAGGGAUGUUAUUGUGACGACGACGAUGCAACAAUACAAAGAGAUUAAUGUUGUGGUGUUCCAUGGUGGGUUUUAUGGUGAAGCGAAUAUCCGGUGGUUCAGACAAAAUUUCCAGCAACAAGGUAAACCAAUGUUUUCUAGCUAAAUAUGUUAAGAGAAAUCCGGUGAAACCUGUUUGAUAUAAACGAGGGUUUUGCAGAUUUUAGGCUCAAAUUAUGAUAUAUGUUUAAGGUAUAUUUGUUGGUUUAUGUUAUCUUAGUUGGAUUCUUCAUGA